rnacentral:rRNA from 1 species
GAGUAAAGAUUUCGGUCGCUUUGGGAGGAGCUCGCUUACUAUCAGCUUGUUGGUAGGGUAAUGGCCUACCAAGGCUAUGACGGUUAGGGGGUGUGAGAGCAUGACCCCCAGCAUUGGCACUGAAACACUGGCCAAACACCUACGGGUGGCUGCAGUCGAGAAUCUUCCACAAUGGGGGAAACCCUGAUGGAGCGAUGCUGCGUGCGGGAUGAAGGCCUUCGGGUUGUAAACCGCUUUUGUAGGGGACGAAAUUUUUGACGGUACCCUUUCGAAUAAGAGGUUGCUAACUCUGUGCCAGCAGCAGCGGUAAUACAGAGACCUCAAGCGUUAUCCGGAUUUACUGGGCGUAAAGCGUCUGUAGGGGGUUUAUUAAAGUUCCAAGUAAAAUUUCAAGGCUCAACUUUGAAUUCGCUUGGAAAACUAAUAAACUGGAGUCUAGCAGAGGUGCAUGGAACUUGUGGUGUAGGAGUGAAAUCCGUUGAUAUCACAAGGAACACCAAAGGCGAAGGCAUUUGCACUGGGCUAGCACUGACCCUGAGAGACGAAAGCGUGGGGAGCAAAACGGAUUAGAUACCCGUGUAGUCCACGCCCUAAACGAUGAAUGCUAAAUGUUCGGGGAUUUCGACCCCCUGGGUUGUUCAGCUUACGGCGUUAAGCAAUUCCGCAUGGGAAGUACGGCCGCAAGGCUAAAACUUCAAAGGAAUAGACGGGGAUCCGCACAAGCGGUGGAGCGUCUGGGUUUAAUUCGACAGUAAGCGUGGUACCUCAACCAGGGUUUGACAUCCCUUGACAGCCUUGGAAAACAAGGUUUCCUUUCGGGGGCAAGGUGA